rnacentral:misc_RNA from 1 species
UCGAUAUCAACAAUAUAUCGAGCCAUUCGAAAAACUUGUAAAAUAAUUGUUGGCACCUGCCAUCAUAAGAAAAUUCAUCCCACUAGCUGUCUCAUCUCCGGUGGAUUUGUUGCGCGAUGGGGGGUGAAAAAACUUCAAACCGGCGCAGCUUCGCGCCAAGUAUAGAUCGAAAGCACGUUAGCCUUAUAACGGGUUUUAAGUGGGCAUCGAGUAUGUCCCAUUCUAUAUGCAUCAAAAUGACUCUCGGCAAUGGAUAUCUCGGCUCUUGCAUCGAUGAAGAGCGCAGCGAAAUGCGAUACGUGAUGCGAAUUGCAGAAUCCCGUGAACCAUCGAGUCUUUGAACGCAAGUUGCGCCCGAGGCCUAUCGGCCAAGGGCACGUUCGCCUGGGCGUCAAGCGUAGCAUCGCUCCUUGCUCUAGCUCCAUCCCAUCUUUGGUUGUGUUGGAAAUGGCUCGGAUGCGUAGAGUGGCUCCUCGUGCCUACGGUGCGGCGGGCUGAAGAUUAUGAUAUUGUCUCGUUUGACUGGGAGCAACAAGGGGUGGAAGGUAAAAAAAUUCCUAUGUUGUUUUGCGCUGGUUUAAGAAGAGAUGUAUUCAUUUGAUCCAAAUCCAUGCGUUGGCCUAGAGUCAAUGGCAUGAAAU